UAUUUUGUCGUGCAUUCCGCCAGAAGUCCAAACAGGGCUGGACCCGCUAAGAACUUGGGGAAAAAAGAACAAACUAUUUAUUAAAACAGCUUUAAAUUAAGACACUUCAACGGAACAAACUUAAGGACUUUAUUGAAAAUAAACGAAAUCCCCAAGAUUCUAUAUUCAGAUACUUAAAGAAAAGAUAUAAAAAGUAACAAAACGAAACUUAGAAAAUGGCAGCAACAAGAACUGGAAUGCUUUUUAAAGUAAUGUCACCAAACGUCGUGAGCAGAGUAGUGUCCACGUCGGCUUCACAGAAUACAUCAAACACAAUCGUCAUCGACCGAACAGCCACCGCAGCUUGCCCCUUCCACAAAGCACUACAGACAGUCGACGACGCAAUGUCACCAUGGAGAAAGGACACCGUCGACAAGGUUGAUAUUGCCAGAGAAACAACAGAGGUUAAGAGCUUCGAAAGCAUACCGGGACCUAAAGGGCUUCCAAUUGUAGGAACUUUAUUUGAUUACCUGAAAAAAGAUGGUCUAAAAUUCAAUAAAAUGCACGAGGCUUACCAGAAGAGAGCAAUAGAACAUGGUCCAAUUUACAAAGAAAAGAUCGCAACUAUUAACUCAGUUGUGAUAAGCGACCCAGAAGAAUACAGCAAAGUCAUUCGUUCCGAGGGCAAAUAUCCACAAAGACGACCGAUGGAACCCAUAGCUUUCUACAGAGAACAAAAAGGACUUGGUCUUGGUUUAGUGAAUGACCAAGGAGAGGAAUGGUACAAACUGCGAACAGUUACAGCUCCAAAAAUGCUCAAAAUGAAGGAAGCUUUGGAUUUCUGUGUUCCAAUGAGCGAAGUUGGAAACGACUUUGUUGGUCAUCUGAAAGCAGCCAGAAAAGACAACAAUGAAAUUGUUGGUUUAGAAAAAGAAUUGUUUAAAUGGGCAUUUGAAUCAAUCGGUACAUUCCUGUUCGAGGAACGGGUCGGCUGCUUCUCCGAUCCCACACCUAAACCUGCCAAAGAUUUUAUUGACCACUUGCAAGAAUUCUUCAAAUAUUUACAGCCACUCAUGUACAACGUGCCCACAUACAGAAUUUACCGCACCAAACUGUGGAGAAAGUUCGAAUACCAUGCAGAUAAGGUUUUCGAACUAGGAAGAUACUUUAUUGAAAAGAAAGUAAAAGAUUUGGAAUCUACAGAAGGGUUAGAAGUGGAAGGAAACACAGAAAGGGUUCCAUUUAUCACCUACAUGUUGUCGCAGAAUUCACUAACAACAGACGAGGCCGUUUCCACAUGCGUAGACCUUCUUACUGCUGCUACUGAAACGACAUCAAAUGCAAUGUUAUGGAGCCUGUACUCUCUGGCACAACAUCCGGAAGUACAAGAGAAGCUCUAUCAAGAGACUAUGGAUGUGUUAGGAGACAGCAACGAGAUAAAUCCUGAAAAUAUUGCCAAACUUUCAUACGUCAAGGCGUUCCUUAAGGAAACUUUCAGAGCAUACCCGAUCACCUGGGCAACCAGUAGAAUAACACAAGAGGACAUGGAAGUAUCAGGCCACCAUAUACCAGCUAAUGGAACAACAUCACAUAAAACACACGCUUAUCCUUAUAUGCUCCUCAUAAAUGUAAAACGAAAUCCUUAUUGUACGGGCAACUUUAUUACAGACUCAUAUACAAGCCAAUUUGUUUGGAAUGUUCCGUGAUGAGAAGCUUUUCCCGGAAAACGACCAGUUCAAACCUGAAAGAUGGCUGAGAGAAAACAAGAUGGACACGCAACUGAAGAGCUUGUCCAAUCUCAUCUGGGGACACGGAGCUAGAAUGUGCAUAGGCAGACGAUUUGCUGAACAAGAACUGCAUAUCAUUCUUACAAAG
rnacentral:misc_RNA from 1 species